GACGUAGGGCGCAAGCGUUGUCCGGAUUUAUUGGGCGUAAAGAGCUCGUAGGCGGCCCGUUAAGUCGGAUGUGAAAACCCGUGGCUCAACCACGGGCCUGCAUCCGAUACUGGCGGGCUCGAGGCAGGCAGGGGAGAUCGGAAUUCCGGGUGUAGUGGUGAAAUGCGUAGAGAUCCGGAGGAACACCAGUGGCGAAGGCGACACGCUGGGCCGUACCUGACACUGAUGCGCGACAGCAUGGGGAGCAAACAGG
rnacentral:rRNA from 1 species